GCUCUACCAUGGUAGAGCAUGGUGUUUGCAACGCCAGGGUUGUGGGUUCGAUUCCCAC
rnacentral:tRNA from 1 species